rnacentral:rRNA from 1 species
AACGAACGCUGGCGGCAUGCCUAACACAUGCAAGUCGAACGAGACCUUCGGGUCUAGUGGCGCACGGGUGCGUAACGCGUGGGAACCUGCCCUUAGGUUCGGAAUAACUCCCCGAAAGGGGUGCUAAUACCGGAUAAUGUCUUCGGACCAAAGAUUUAUCGCCUUUGGAUGGGCCCGCGUUGGAUUAGCUAGUUGGUAGGGUAAAAGCCUACCAAGGCGACGAUCCAUAGCUGGUCUGAGAGGAUGAUCAGCCACCCUGGGACUGAGACACGGCCCAGACUCCUACGGGAGGCAGCAGUGGGGAAUAUUUGGACAAUGGGCGAAAGCCUGAUCCAGCAAUGCCGCGUGAGUGAUGAAGGCCUUAGGGUUGUAAAGCUCUUUUACCCGGGAUGAUAAUGACAGUACCGGGAGAAUAAGCUCCGGCUAACUCCGUG